UAACGCCGGGUCUGCUCUCCCAGGGGCCACGUACAGCACGCUUUCUGCUUCCACCGGCUUAAAUGAAUUUCCUGCAAAUGAAAGCCAGGUCUGUGCUCAGCGAGGCUUCGCCGAGCCCAAAUGCAAUUAAGCCGGCGGCUGGUUAAGGACGCGGCGAGCGGUGCGCAGGUCUCGCCGGGAGAACCUGCGGCUGCACGGGAUGGGUAAAGGCACGGGACGCAUCGGGUGCGGGGUGCCGAGCCGCCCCGGUGCGGUGCUUCCUGGCGUGUGCCGACUCAUAGCGGCUUACGGGGCUUCCUGGAAGGGUGACUCAGCACGCCUUACUCACCCCAUCGCCACCCCCUCGCUCCCACGCCGCGGGGAUGCUCGGAUGGGGAGCCGGGGGCACGGGGGGGUGCGAGCGUCCCCGCGGCGCCCGGGGUCCGCUGGGUACCGCUCGGGGACGGCAGCGCUUGCCAGCCUGCCCCGGGCUCGGGGAUUUUUUUGGGGGAAGGGUUCGUGGCUCUGUGGGCUGGCAGCGUCUGGGUUCGUGUGCUGCUCCUCGGAGGGUGGGUGCUGUGGGCCAGAGGAGAAAGUGUCACACCCAGGAGGCAGCGUUUGGCGGCUCCGUUUGAGACGAUGCCAAAGCGCUGCCCAAACGCAAAGCCACGUGGGAGCCGGGCAAUGGGAAAGGAAAAGCCGCCGCGUUUCGGGACAAGGCUAAGAGCUGCCACCACGGGGCCCAUGGGAUCCCCAUCAGCGGCACUUUCCCACCCCGCCUGUCCUGAGCAGACCCGGCCAAGGGGUCCCGCUGCCUAAUGACUGCGGCAUCCAGAGCUGGGCUCCUCCAGGCCGCCGGGAGAGCCGCCCGGCACGCGUGGGCCCGUUGAUGGGAGCUCUCAGGAUGUUGAGUCUGGUUCCUGGGAUGCUUGCGAGCUCCCGGACAUCGCCGCUUUGUCUUUUCGCUCUCUUAAAACCCAGACAGCCUGGCUUGGCUACAGGCUGCGGUCGUUUUCUUUUCCCUCGGGACUCUUCCUUCUGUGAGUGCAAAAGGGAAGGUAGCGUCCAUUUAAGUCCACGAGCACAAAAUUAGUGCUGGCAGCACGCCCGACCUUAGUGGGGCUCGCUUCUAAUGGGAACUAAACGACGGCAAAGGAGCCUCCCAUUGCCGCAGGGCUCGCACACACGGCAAGGCUCCGCGCCUCCCGAGCCGCGGCCGGAGGUGAUGGGGAGCACGCGACGCCGCCGGCGGUGAGACGCAGCCCGGAGGGGUGAACAGCAGCCCCCAGAAAACCCCGCUGCGGGGCACAGACCGGGGAACCUGCAGGGCCGGGGGUGCCACCCCGAGGACCUCCAGCAGCGCGCCGCCAGCCUGCCCUUCCCUCCCGCCGGCAGAGCCUGGCAGGUCCCAGAGCCGGAGCACAAGCCAUCAGGUCACCUCCAAAAAGCCCCAAGCUAUAUUUACCCGAGUUGCUUCCUUCAAAAGGAAAAUCGGUUUGACAACAAGAGUAAAUACCGCGUGAGAACUGGCAGGAACACGGCUACACCUUGCAAGGCUUGGCUAAAGAGAGGGAGAGAAGUAUUUGCCCUGUCUCCUCCAAGGACGCUAAGCAGACGGGGACUCGGGUUAUCGUAUUUUUUUUGUCCUAAAUGGUCACUCGAGGCAGAUGUUAAACAAGCCCCAGUUAAUACGCGUGGUUGAGGGGAAAUGGAGCUUUCAUUAAAACGAUCUGUUGCUCGCA